rnacentral:rRNA from 1 species
GAUGAACGCUGGCGGCGUGCCUAAUACAUGCAAGUCGAGCGAACGGACGAGAAGCUUGCUUCUCUGAUGUUAGCGGCGGACGGGUGAGUAACACGUGGAUAACCUACCUAUAAGACUGGGAUAACUUCGGGAAACCGGAGCUAAUACCGGAUAAUAUUUUGAACCGCAUGGUUCAACAGUGAAAGACGGUCUUGCUGUCACUUAUAGAUGGAUCCGCGCUGCAUUAGCUAGUUGGUAAGGUAACGGCUUACCAAGGCAACGAUGCAUAGCCGACCUGAGAGGGUGAUCGGCCACACUGGAACUGAGACACGGUCCAGACUCCUACGGGAGGCAGCAGUAGGGAAUCUUCCGCAAUGGGCGAAAGCCUGACGAAGCAACGCCGCGUGAGUGAUGAAGGUCUUCGGAUCGUAAAACUCUGUUAUUAGGGAAGAACAUAUGUGUAAGUAACUGUGCACAUCUUGACGGUACCUAAUCAGAAAGCCACGGCUAACUACGUG